GAUGAACGCUGGCGGCGUGCCUAAUACAUGCAAGUCGAGCGAACGGACGAGAAGCUUGCUUCUCUGAUGUUAGCGGCGGACGGGUGAGUAACACGUGGAUAACCUACCUAUAAGACUGGGAUAACUUCGGGAAACCGUAGCUAAUACCGGAUAAUAUUUUGAACCGCAUGGUUCAAAAGUGAAAGACGGUCUUGCUGUCACUUAUAGAUGGAUCCGCGCUGCAUUAGCUAGUUGGUAAGGUAACGGCUUACCAAGGCAACGAUGCAUAGCCGACCUGAGAGGGUGAUCGGCCACACUGGAACUGAGACACGGUCCAGACUCCUAAGGGAGGCAGCAGUAGGGAAUCUUCCGCAAUGGGCGAAAGCAUGACGGAGCAACGCCGCGUGAGUGAUGAAGGUCUUCGGAUCGUAAAACUCUGUUAUUAGGGAAGAACAUAUGUGUAAGUAACUGUGCACAUCUUGACGGUACCUAAUCAGAAAGCCACGGCUAACUACGUG
rnacentral:rRNA from 1 species